UCACCAUGGGGCUCUGUGACCCUCCACGCUGCUCCCACUUCAAGAGCUGUGGCAUCUUCAUUGCCAGAGCUCAGUGGUGAAGGUUGGUGGAAGGCAGAUGGGUGUGCUGGCAAGCAGCAGCAGCUUGAAGAGCUGAAGCUGAAUGUGGUGAGAAUGGUGUGAUACAUCCAGCUGGAGCAAUGCCUUCAGGUUUCUCCAUGGUUAUUGAAAAUUUUGUGCCUGGAAUUCAGGGGGAGUUGGUCAAGAAUCACAUACAUACAUCCAUUUCUAAUCCAGGAAUCCAGAAAAUACAAUGAAAUCUUGGCAGAACCUGAAUUCAGUAGGAAUCCUUCCUGCUCUCCAACACUGUGCUGAAAAUCCCAGCAAAGCACAUAAAGAGGAUUCGUGUACAUACCUAUACAUAUUUAUGUAUGCACUGAAAGGAAAUAAAAUAUUGGUUUGGGUUGAUUGA